rnacentral:tRNA from 2 species
GGAGAGGUGGCAGAGAGGUCGAAUGCACCGGUCUUGAAAACCGGAGCGCGGGAAACCGUGCCGAGGGUUCGAAUCCCUCCCUCUCCGCAA